GGUCCCAUAACUCAGUUGGUUAGAGUGUAGUACUAAUAAUGCUAAAGUCGAGAGUUCGACCCUCUCUGGGACCA